rnacentral:miRNA from 1 species
CUUCGUUUCCUGCCACAGCCAGGUGGGGGGCCGGGGGGCGGUGAGGGGAGGGGCCGGGGGAGG